rnacentral:rRNA from 1 species
CAGAGGUCCCGAGCGUUGUUCGGAUUCACUGGGCGUAAAGGGUGCGUAGGUGGUGAGGUUAAGUCGGAUGUGAAAUCUCCGGGCUCAACCCGGAAAUGGCAUUGGAAACUACCUUGCUGGAGGAUUUGAGGGGGGAUUGGAAUACUUGGUGUAGCAGUGAAAUGCGUAGAUAUCAAGUGGAACACCAGUGGCGAAGGCGAAUCCCUGGAAAAUACCUGACACUGAGGCACGAAAGCUAGGGGAGCAAACAGGAUUAGAUACCCUGGUAGUCCUAGCCCUAAACGGUGCUUGCUUGCUGUAAGAGGAAUCGACCCCUCUUGUGGCGGAGCUAACGCGUUAAGCAAGCCGCCUGGGAAGUACGGUCGCAAGAUUA